CAGCAGCCGCCACGGGAAUACAGAGGAUGCAAGCGUUAUCCGGAAUGAUUGGGCGUAAAGCGUGCGUAGGCGGCUUCUUAAGUCGGAUGUGAAAUCCCUGAGCUUAACUUAGGAAUUGCAUUCGAUACUGGGAAGCUAGAGUAUGGGAGAGGAUGGUAGAAUUCCAGGUGUAGCGGUGAAAUGCGUAGAGAUCUGGAGGAAUACCGAUGGCGAAGGCAGCCAUCUGGCCUAAUACUGACGCUGAGGUACGAAAGCAUGGGAGCAAACAGGAUUAGAUACCCCAGUAGUCCCUGUCUCUUAU
rnacentral:rRNA from 1 species